rnacentral:rRNA from 1 species
GGCGGCAUGCUUUACACAUGCAAGUCGAACGGCAGCACGAAAGAGCUUGCUCUUUUGGUGGCGAGUGGCGAACGGGUGAGUAAUACAUUGGAACGUACCGAGUAAUGGGGGAUAACUGUCCGAAAGGAUGGCUAAUACCGCAUACGCUCUGAGGAGGAAAGCGGGGGACCUUCGGGCCUCGCGUUAUUCGAGCGGCCAAUGUCUGAUUAGCUAGUUGGUGGGGUAAAGGCCUACCAAGGCGACGAUCAGUAGUGGGUCUGAGAGGAUGAUCCGCCACACUGGGACUGAGACACGGCCCAGACUCCUACGGGAGGCAGCAGUGGGGAAUUUUGGACAAUGGGCGAAAGCCUGAUCCAGCCAUGCCGCGUGUCUGAAGAAGGCCUUCGGGUUGUAAAGGACUUUUGUCAGGGAAGAAAGGGUUUGGGUUAAUACCCUGAGCUUAUGAC